CCCAACUCGGAUAGACUCGCCACAUAAAAACGCUCGAAAACAUAGAGGAAGGCAAAUGAAGACGGAGGACCGUGCUCAUAACCAAGAAGAAAGGAAAAGUCAUUUAAAAUAAGCCCACACAAGCAUAUACAGAGUUUAAGGAUUUACCCCCUCACCACCCAUAUAAUGAAAGGUUGAGGAGGUAAAGGGGGCAAUUUGGGAAGAAAGG
rnacentral:lncRNA from 1 species